CGGAAUUUCAGUACCGCAAUAGCGUCCAAUUAGCGGAGAAUCCUCAGAAUCGCCAUUCCUGAAAUGCAAAUCGAAAAUCCCAGUCGGUCCAGCAUGAAGGGGACAUGAACGAUGGCUCCAGCGUGAAAUUGUGCACCACUAACUCAAUGCGGUGGCCAAAGGGUGCUUUGAUAAUCCACUCGCAUGUUUGGGACUCCCCAUAGUUCUUGGGCCAGUUUGGUGUUUUGAUGUAGCCAAAGCGACCAGUGAAGGUUCCUCCGCAGCUCUCUAUCGUAAAUUCAAUCAAAAGAAGCUCCUAAAUCAUUGUCUUGUGCUUGUAUAAAAGUGUAGGUACAUAGAAAGAUCUAUUAGGGUAAGCUACCUCCCAUUACAUAUUGCAAAUAGUACAUAGUAAGAGUAAAUAGCAUUUCCUACCUUGCGGGGCAAUGUCGAACUGAAUUAAAUAAUGUGCAAGUCCUCUGAA